AUGGACCUCCUCCAAAACGCGGAGGUGGACCUCGGGGCUCCGCCUCUCGAACCCUUUAGGGUUGGUGACGACUUAGAGGAAGAUGAGGAGGAUGAAGGUGAUGACGAGGAGGAGGUGGCCGAGAUAGGAGAGGAAGCAUUCACCGCUGUUUCCCGCCCACACGCGCGGUCGACAAACUACACCAAGGCGGAAGAUAUCCUCUUGGUUCGUGCUUGGGCAGCUGUAGGAAUGGAUGCAACCACCGGCACCGACCAAACUGGUAAACGGUAUUGGCAAAGGAUCGAUGACACCUAUUGUAGGAUCAAGCCGAAGAAUAGUGGGUUCAUCUCUCGCACUUACCGGUCGCUUCAAGGCCGGUGGGAGUUGAUGAAGCCCGCUUGUGCUCGUUGGAGUGCGGUCAUAGACCAAGUGAGGGAUGUACCACCUAGUGGAACCGUGGAGAGUGACUAUGAGACAAUUGCCGGCAUGAGGUACAAGGAGAUGGCCGCUUCCAAGGGCAAGCCAUUCCCAUUUAAGCAUGCUUGGACAAUUCGUCAAACCUUUGACAAGUGGAACUUGAGGGAUCAAGAGACCGCACCCAAGAAGUCGGCAAUGCUUAGGAUGGGUGAUAGUGAAGAUGAGGAGGAGAGGAACUUGGGCAAGCCCGAGGGAACCAAGAAGGGCAAGCUAAGGGUGAAGAUGGAAGAAGAGGCGUCAAGCCUAAGGGAGAAGAUGGACCACAUGAUGAAGGCAAGAGAGGAAUUGACAACAAAGACAUUGGAGACGAAGCUUCUUAUCACCGAGAAGAAGAAAGAGGUCAAGCUUGCACAAGUUGAAGCAAAGCGUGAAGAAGCAAAGCGCAAGGCCGAGUUGGAGAAGAGGAUGAUCAAGCUCAAAGAGGCAAAGGUAUGGAAAGAACUCAUGGUGGAAGAGAAAGAGCACAUGAUGAUGUCCAAGAAGGACAUGGAUCAAGACCAAUUGCAAUGGUGGAAGGACUACAAGGAGGACAUCGCGAAGAGGAAGAGAAUGUUUCGUGUUGCGUCCUCUACUUUUCGAGGUGACACUCCGAUGAGUAGUUGUGGCAUGGCGGUGUGUACGACUCCACCAGUGCCCAUGGAGAUGCUUGAUGGAGCCCGCAUGUGGUCUAGGAGAUGGCGCCGAGGUGCAACUUUUUGA
rnacentral:rRNA from 1 species